UACGUAGGUGGCAAGCGUUGUCCGGAAUUAUUGGGCGUAAAGAGCUUGUAGGCGGUUUGUCGCGUCUGCUGUGAAAUUUCGGGGCUCAACCCCGAACUUGCAGUGGGUACGGGCAGACUAGAGUGUGGUAGGGGAGACUGGAAUUCCUGGUGUAGCGGUGAAAUGCGCAGAUAUCAGGAGGAACACCGAUGGCGAAGGCAGGUCUCUGGGCCACUACUGACGCCGAGAAGCGAAAGCAUGGGGAGCGAACAGG
rnacentral:rRNA from 1 species